CUAUUAAGAACUUGAGGGAAGCUGCUAAAACUGAUGGUAAAGCGGCUGUGAACUUGAUGAAGUUGACAUUAUUCAGACAGUACUAUGUUAUUGUGAUAUGUUACAUAUACUUCACGAGGGUUGUGGUUUAUGCUCUUGAGACCAUUACCUCUUAUCGGUAUCAGUGGACUAGUGUGGUGGCUGCUGAAGCGGCAACACUUGCUUUCUAUGUCUUUACGGGGUAUAACUUCAGGCCUAAGACGCGGAGACGAUUACCUCUUAUCGGUAUCAGUGGACUAGUGUCGUGGCUGCUGAAGCGGCAACGCUUGCUUUCUAUGUCUUUACGGGGUAUAACUUCAGGCCUAAGGCGCACAAUCCAUAUUUUGCAAUUGAUGACGAGGAGGAAGAAGCUGCUUCGGAGGCACUAAAGCUUGAAGACGAAUUUGAAUUAUGAUUAUCAUUCUUCAGCAAUAUGAAGAUAAUUUGAAGAGGCAAGGUAGAAGAUUACUCAAUCUCGGAGGUCGUAACUUUUCUGAAAUCAUUGCCUAGUUUGUUCAUUAGUUUGUAUAUUCAUUUAAUAGAUAAAACCUGUUAAGUAUGUUUUAUCUCUAUUGUCACAGUAUUCUGUUGUGCACUGAAUUCAGUUCUUGAUUAUCAAGUCAAAGAACUGGUAUUAGCUUUGUUGUUAAUCUUCAGACGAGCUUCAUGUGGUGUCACUACUAUGCAUUUUGCUUUGUAUAAUUUUGAACAGAACUGGUCUGCAGUAUAGUUCACUUGGUUAGCUAAAUAAACAAUAUGCAAUAUAUGAUGUUUCCGUACACGAAGGUCUUUGUACAUCUCGUGCAUUUGACUUUACAUAAGGACCGAGAACUGGAUGAUUGCUCACUAAAAGCCGGUUACAGCUGCCUGCGAAAAUGGAGUUGACUAUAAAAUGUCAUUUGGUUUACACUGUCUACAUGAGGCUGCUUACUCUUGUUCUUCUAUGCUUAUUAACUUGUUAAGUAUGAGUUUCUCUGUUCAUCUUUUACAUUUCUCAGUGGUGGCCUUCAUUUAUACAGUAGACUGUAUGAUGGAGGUAGUAUUAUAAUUUAGGCUGCAAAAGGCAAUGGUUU
rnacentral:lncRNA from 1 species